GGAACAUUAUCAGUCAUUCAAGCUAUGAUAUCCUGGCAGAUCUACUUCCUGAAAAGAAGACUCAGCAGAUCUUUUCAAGACACACUAGAUGGAGCGCGGAGAGACCGGACAGUUCCCACAGUGCUAGUUUUUCAGCACCCACACCCCAAACACAAAUUCAUAUAGAAGUUUUCAAUAAUAAAAAGUUCAUAUGAUAGUUUAUAUUUAGCUAUGAAGCAAUAGUUUUUUGUCAUAAAUAUUAAACUAAAUAUUAAAGUCCUUCAGUAGUGAAAAUCAAGUUUUUAUGCUGUUUUUUUUUUUUUUUUUUGUCUUUGUGGCAUUAAAUAUUGCUACAUCACAAUCCAAUAACCAAUCACAUCUAAGAAUAAUUUCCUAUAGCAUGCCAAUACCAGCUCACAAGCACAAAGACAAAUUAUAGCAAAAAAAAUUAGAUUAAAUAUUUGACUACAGGGGACUGUCAUUUUUUUUUUUUUUACAAGAUAUGAAAUUUUCACCAGUCUGUUCAAUGUGUUGAAAGUGAUUAUCUUUAAUAAUUCAGAUACCUGUUGAAAUGCACAUGUAAUUUAAUGCUUGCUUGGAUCUGGAAUGUUGUGUUAAUAAAUGUUAUGCUGAAAGAGAAUGUUGCAACAGUGCUAACCUGAAAAUAAAAUUUUAUUAAGC